CCCGGGUUCAACCGGGGUAAGCAUUUGAAAAUGGAAGGGCUUGAGGUAAGGAGAGGAAAAUGGAAAUUCCUAGUGUAGCGGUGAAAAUGCGUGGAUAUUUAGGGAGGAAUACCAAUGGCGAAGGCAGCCCCCUGGGAUAAAUACUGACGCUCAGGCACGAAAGCGUGGGUAGCAAACAGGAUUAGAUACCCUGGUAGUCCACGCCCUAAACGAUGUCAACUAGCUGUUGGGCCGGUUACGGCUUAGUAGCGCAGCUAACGCGUGAAGUUGACCGCCUGGGGACUACGGUCGCAAGACUAAAACUCAAAGGAAUUGACGGGGACCCGCACAAGCGGUGGAUGAUGUGGAUUAAUUCGAUGCAACGCGAAAAACCUUACCUACCCUUGACAUGCCCGGAAGCUUCAAGAGAUUGAAGUGUGCUCGCAAGAGAACCGGAGCACAGGUGCUGCAUGGCUGUCGUCAGCUCGUGUCGUGAGAUGUUGGGUUAAGUCCCGCAACGAGCGCAACCCUUGUCAUUAGUUGCUACGCAAGAGCACUCUAAUGAGACUGCCGGUGACAAACCGGAGGAAGGUGGGGAUGACGUCAAGUCCUCAUGGCCCUUAUGGGUAGGGCUUCACACGUCAUACAAUGGUCAGGACAGCGGGUUGCCAAACCGCGAGGUGGAGCUAAUCUCAAAAACCUGAUCGUAGUCCGGAUUGCAGGCUGCAACUCGCCUGCAUGAAGUCGGAAUCGCUAGUAAUCGCAGAUCAGAAUGCUGCGGUGAAUACGUUCCCGGGUCUUGUACACACCGCCCGUCA
rnacentral:rRNA from 1 species